UACGAGUGCCCCAAGCGUUAUCCGGAAUCAUUGGGCGUAAAGGGUGUGUAGGCGGUUUAGUUAGUCUUCUGUUAAAACCACGGGCUUAACCCGGGGCUCGCAGAGGAAACGGCUAGACUAGAGGGUGCGAGGGGUGAAUGGAACUCAUGGAGUAGGGGUGAAAUCCGUUGAUAUCAUGGGGAACACCAAAAGCGAAGGCAAUUCACUGGCGCAUUUCUGACGCUGAAACACGAAAGCGUGGGUAGCGAACGGG
rnacentral:rRNA from 1 species